CGAGGGGUAGUUACUUUCGGGUAAUGAGACCGGCGCACGGGUGCGUAACGCGUAUGCAAUCUACCUUUUACAGGGGAAUAGCCCAGAGAAAUUUGGAUUAAUGCCCCAUAGUAUGUAUGAAUCGCAUGGUUUAUACAUUAAAGUUCCAACGGUAAAAGAUGAGCAUGCGUCCCAUUAGUUAGUUGGUAAGGUAACGGCUUACCAAGACGAUGAUGGGUAGGGGUCCUGAGAGGGAGAUCCCCCACACUGGUACUGAGACACGGACCAGACUCCUACGGGAGGCAGCAGUGAGGAAUAUUGGACAAUGGGCGCAAGCCUGAUCCAGCCAUGCCGCGUGCAGGAAGAAGCAUCUAUGGUGUGUAAACUGCUUUUGUACGGGAAGAAACACUCCCUCGUGAGGGAGCUUGACGGUACCGUAAGAAUAAGGAUCGGCUAACUCCGUGCCAGCAGCCGCGGUAAUACGGAGGAUCCAAGCGUUAUCCGGAAUCAUUGGGUUUAAAGGGUCCGUAGGCGGUUUGAUAAGUCAGUGGUGAAAGCCCAUCGCUCAACGAUGGAACGGCCAUUGAUACUGUCAGACUUGAAUUACAAGGAAGUAACUAGAAUAUGUAGUGUAGCGGUGAAAUGCUUAGAUAUUACAUGGAAUACCAAUUGCGAAGGCAGGUUACUACUUGUGGAUUGACGCUGAUGGACGAAAGCGUGGGGAGCGAACAGGAUUAGAUACCCUGGUAGUCCACGCCGUAAACGAUGGAUACUAGCUGUUGGGAGCAAUCUCAGUGGCUAAGCGAAAGUGAUAAGUAUCCCACCUG
rnacentral:rRNA from 1 species